GGGUGAUACAACGGGUUGCGAGAGAGCGAUCGUGGAGCUAAUCCCUAAAAUACAUCCUCGGUUCGGAUUGCAGGCUGAAACUGCCUGCAUGAAGUUGGAGUUGCUAGUAACCGCAGGUCAGCACACUGCGGUGAAUACGUUCUCGGGCCUU
rnacentral:rRNA from 1 species